UUCUCUGAUGGUAAUCUGAAGGAAAUAUCAUAGUAUACUUCACUGAUGUGGAGGCAGAAGAGCCAAGGGCAGCACAUUGGAAAGGAAGAGAUGGGAACAGGAACAAAUGGACCACACUUGUGGAAGGAGCAAUUAGAUAUUGAGAACUGACUGACAGAGGCUGGCUGAAACCUGCAAUGGACAAUUGAAAAAGGCUGAGCAUUCAUUCUCCUCAGGAGAUCCCAGUGAGAAGAUUCAGUCCGGAAUCAAGACAGAGGGUCAGUCAAGACACCCAGCGUAGACAAGAUGGAGUCCACUGAGACCCCAGCAGGGUGCUGCUUCCAG